rnacentral:rRNA from 1 species
UUUUGCAGCAGUAGGGAAUCUCUCACAAUGGGCGCAAGCUUGAUGGAGCAACGCCGCGUGUGUGAUGAAGGCUUUCGGGUCGUAAAGCACUGUUGUAUGGGAAGAACGGGUUUAAGAGGAAAUGCUUAGACAGUGACGGUACCAUACCAGAAAGGGACGGCUAAAUACGUGCCAGCAGCCGCGGUAAUACGUAUGUCCCGAGCGUUAUCCGGAUUUAUUGGGCGUAAAGCGAGCGCAGACGGUUGCUUAAGUUUGAAGUGAAAGCCCACAGCUCAACUGUGGAAUGGCUUUGGAAACUGGGCAACUUGAGUGCAGUAGAGGUAAGUGGAACUCCAUGUGUAGCGGUGGAAUGCGUAGAUAUAUGGAAGAACACCAGUGGCGAAGGCGGCUUACUGGACUGCAACUGACGUUGAGGCUCGAAAGUGUGGGUAGCAAACAGGAUUAGAUACCCUGGUAGUCCACACCGUAAACGAUGGAUACUAGUUGUUAGAGGGUUUCCGCCCUUUAGUGACGAAGCAAACGCAUUAAGUAUCCCGCCUGGGGAGUACGACCGCAAGGUUGAAACUCAAAGGAAUUGACGGGGACCCGCACCAGCGGUGGAGCAUGUGGUUUAAUUCGAAGCAACGCGAAGAACCUUACCAGGUCUUGACAUCCUUUGAAGGUACUAGAGAUAGUACUGUCUUCUUCGGAAGCAAAGUGACAGGUGGUGCAUGGCUGUCGUCAGCCUCCUUUUUU